CAAAGUCCAGAAUGUUUUCAUUGACAAAGCACCAGCUAAAACACAGAAUACCAAUGACUCUUAGACUCAUUCCCGGGCCUCCGGCUGACCACGGGAAAGGGGAUCUUCAGGAGCGGGUGUCUCAUGGCUGGGAAGAGGACGGCACAGGAGGGCUGGGGAACCCGAAUUGCAGCCUGAAUGGCCAGUGUCCUUUCUCCAGAAUGCAGUUCUCCCUUGCUCAGAAGAAAUGAGUCUGCCAGUGGGUACAACAUGAGAUGAUACUUCCACCCCCAUUGGUGACAGCCCUCACCUAGCUAUCAAGACAGUGUUCGACUUCCUUCACUCCUUCCAGGGGCCAGCAUGUGGCUGGCCACUGUCCACCCUCAGGGGUUGUGAACUGAAUUAAAGGGUUGCGUCCUUCAUCCAUUUUCUUUGCUGAACUGUCUUGAAUUUUACCCUAAGUUCAAAAUGAAGCAGACCAUAGCUGAGUUUAAAGGAGAUCCGAUUGACAUUGGGAAGUGGCACCCAAUAAGAUGGCUGUUUCUUCCGCCUGCUCCAGGGCUCGCCAACAGGAGAACUGAAAGCUGAAGCAUCUCAACCUGCAGAUACAUCUCAAAGGCCCCUUCAGCCGAUGUCCUCAGUGCCCUUGACACAGCCCCUUGGCACUUGCCUUCCACACACAUGCUGCUGCACCAGUUUCCUCCUGGUAGCAUCUUCCUUUCCGCCUGAGGAUUUCCCAGGCAUCCUGCCUCCAAGAAAGUCAGAAGUCAGUGCCUUCCUGAGAGCCGGUGAGAGCUCCGUCUCCCUUGGGCAAGUGGUGCUGAUGCCUGUUCCCUGCAUCCAUCUCUCAGAAGCCACAGCAGAACUGAGCUCCAGGGGCCACUGCGAUACACCUUCGCAAUGGUGACCACAAGAAUCCACUCAGCCUUGGAAGCUGUCCUUGAAACUCACCCUGAAAUCCCUGCCUAGCAGACAGGAGACCUCAGGCUGGACUCCACUCACUAUGUUAUCUCGGCCUCCCCGGGACUCUUAGGACACGACUUUCUUAAUCUUUCCAAGGGGCUAAGCUUAACCAAAAGGAAAUACUGCAUAAGAUGUGUGAAUACUUCAAGAUCUGUGGAAUAUGAAGCUGAAAACAGCUCUGUGUUUAGAAAUGGUUACCGUGCAUGUGUCUGUUUCCCCGAACUAGCACCAGAGCCUCGGUUUGAGGGUCUGUAUUUGAUCCUUUUCUCCUUAGAAAAGAGAGACCUUGUUGAAGGAAUGUUCUUUUUCCAGAGGAAAUUUGGGAAACAAAACGGUCACCUUAAAAACAGCAGCACAAGAAAGUUUGUCCUUAAAUUUAAAUUUUCUUUCAAGCCAGGAAUUAAAGCAAAGGUGGGAGUGGAAGAAUCUCUUCAGAUUGUAACUCUUGAAAUUUCCAGGCUAAGGGAAGUCACUGUGGGAGCAUUCGAGCAGAUUGGUGGUCACCACUGGGGAUUCUAGGAAAGACACGUUUCUUCAUGUUUUUAAUCUCAUCCUUUAAUUCCAAUUUCGGUGUAUGUUAUAUGUUUUGUAAGGUAUUCUAACAUUAAAUACGUGUUAUAUGAAUACAGUGUAUGUUCAUGAAUAUUUCCUUCAGUUUUAUAUUUGAGUUGUUUUGGCCUUUUGACUUGUGAAUAAUGCUGCUGUGAACAGCAUGUGCAUGUAUUUGUUGGAGUCUCUGUUUUCAGUUCUUUAGGGCGUAUACCUAGAAGUCUCUAGGUCAUAUGGUAAUCCUAUGUCAAUUUUUUUGAGGUAUUGCCAAGCCGUUCCCCACAACAGCUGCACCAUUUUACUUUCCUACCAGCCAUUGUAAAAGGGUUUCAGCUUCUCCGCAUCCUUGUCAACACUUAUAUCCCUUAAAACAACAACAGCAAUGAACUCACGGUCAUCCUAGUGGAUGUGAAAUGUUGUGUCAUUGUGGUGUUUAUUUGCAUUUUCCAAGAGUCAUCUUUGUCCACAUGUCCUUUGAAUUGAACUUCAAGGACAAGGAUAUGCACCCUCUGGUGUUGGUUGAGAAUGAUUUGUGGGUCCUUCCACAGUCCCCUCUGGUAUCUC
rnacentral:lncRNA from 1 species